UUUAGAGAUAGAGGAGUGCUCGAAAGAGAACCGUAACACAGGUGCUGCAUGGCUGUCGUCAGCUCGUGUCGUGAGAUGUUGGGUUAAGUCCCGCAACGAGCGCAACCCUUGUCAUUAGUUGCUACAUUCAGUUGGGCACUCUAAUGAGACUGCCGGUGACAAACCGGAGGAAGGUGGGGAUGACGUCAAGUCCUCAUGGCCCUUAUAGGUGGGGCUACACACGUCAUACAAUGGAUGGUACAAAGGGUCGCCAACCCGCGAGGGGGAGCCAAUCCCAUAAAGCCAUUCGUAGUCCGGAUUGUUCUCUGCAACUCGAGAGCAUGAAGUCGGAAUCGCUAGUAAUCGCGGAUCAGCAUGUCGCGGUGAAUACGUUCCCGGGUCUU
rnacentral:rRNA from 1 species